UACGUAGGGGGCUAGCGUUGUCCGGAAUCAUUGGGCGUAAAGAGCGUGUAGGCGGCCCGGUAAGUCCGCUGUGAAAGUCGGGGGCUCAACCCUCGAAUGCCGGUGGAUACUGUCGGGCUAGAGUGCGGAAGAGGCGAGUGGAAUUCCUGGUGUAGCGGUGAAAUGCGUAGAUAUCGUAAGGAAGACCAGUGGCGAAGGCGAGUCUCUGGACAGCAACUGACGCUGAGGCACGAAGGCCAGGGGAGCAAACGGG
rnacentral:rRNA from 1 species